rnacentral:ncRNA from 19 species
AGUGAAUAUGGAUUUUAAAUUUAUAUAAUGCUAAUAAUAUGGAUUAGCAGUCUCUACCGAAUAACCGUAAAUUAUUCGACUAUGAAUGAAAGUGUACCUAGG